AGCUGGCCGUCCAGCGCCUGCCAGCCUCUCCAGGACGGAACCUUGAGCGAGAUGCCGUGGGGAGGAUGCAGUGAUGUGAUGCACACGAGGCACUCGGCCCCGUUACUGACACUUCGUAGAUGUCACCGGAGCAGCUGAGCUGCCGGACCCUCCCCAGCGAGGACGGCGGCGGGACAGACACGUCGGCAGGGCUCUGUUCCUGAUUGCCACCCUGAGGAACCCCAGCCUGGUGACCUGAAAGCAGUUGUCCGGACCCCCUUCCAACGGACACUUCCCCCUUCCCUCCCUCGGCCCAUCACCCUUACAGGACGAGUUGAAAUGGCACGAGGGCUGAUGCAAAGCCGCCUCCUUUGGGCCAGGUGGACCCCAGGGACCCAGUAAGCAGCGGCGUCCCACCUGGGCUGGCAAAGCAGACGGAGAACGAGUGCACUGCCCACCUGGAGCAAACCCCUCACCUGGAAAGAGCUCUCACGGCAGGGAGGCCUCGUGACCAGGCGUCAAAUGUUUGUGGCUUCCAGGACCCUGCCAGGGCCGCAGGACACGCUUGCAAAGCGCAGUGCUGGGCACCUGGUGGGCACUCGGUGAUGCUGAUGCUCUUAGCCCGGACGGCUUGUUAAAGCAGAUGGCUGCGCCCCACCUCCCAGAGUCCCUGAUGCGGGAGGUCUGGGUGAAGCGUGACAAUUGAGUCUCUGCGACGCCCCAGGUGGUGCGGAUGCUCCUGGCCCCAGGGCCAUGCUGUGGGAACGCUAUCCUGGAUGACCUGCCCAGUCCCACCCUGGACACGCCAGCGAGACCCCUGAGACAGCGGGGUGACCCCAAAGGGCCCCAGGAGGAUAACAGUGAGUGAGAAACCACCAUAAACUGGGACAGAGGGCUGUGGAGAGGGAGCCCCUGUGUCUUUAGGGGACAGUGAAGUCGUCUCAUGACCCCGCCUGCGUUUCUGACCUGGGGAGGGGGUCUUCUGGACCAUGUCAGGUGCUGAUAGGAGAGAGGUGCUGUGGGUAGGCACAGGCCAGGCCUGGCUGCCUGAGGGGCUCUCCCCCUUGGGAACCAGACCACAAGUGAAGCCUCUCCCUACACACCAGCUAUUUACACUCGGUGCCAUCUGCAUAGGGUCUUCUGACAGCACCUUCAUUCUCCUACUCCCCACACCUCGGCAAAAACGAUACCCUUUCCCUUCCCUGGAAGGAAAACCCAAUGUGGAUGUUUGCACAGCUGUCAAGACAAAACUUCUCCCUCCUUCCAGAGGGUAAGGCACUCAGGCUAAAAUGAAAGAGGCAGCUCACCUACUCCAGGAAGUCUGCCCAGAUUGUUCCCUUUGGUUUCUAAAACACAUAGAGAGCGAAGACCAUUCAGUCAACAAAUAUGUGUUAGCAUCUUCUAGGAGCCAGGCCUGAGCUGGCGAUACAGCAAUGAGCGAAGACCACCCACCCUCCCUCACACGGCCAUCUGAUUUCUCUUCCUGGGUCUGCUGCUAUCCCCCAGCCCCAGCUCGUACAGAGCCUUGGCAUAUGGAAGGCCCUCAAACAUCUUCUCAAGAACUCCCUAAGCCCUCCCCAGAUCCUCGUCUCUGUCCGAGUCAUCCCAAGCAAGAAGAGAGAGCAUAUUGUAAUUUACUAAGUAAACCUCAAAGGAGGAAGGACAGCAGUGGACAUGGGAGAAGCCUCAAGCGAGGCAUCAUCAGGACCCACCCACUCAGCGCACGCUAGACAGCCGUGAGUUCACGCACACUCUCGCGUCCGAGUGUGCAAGCGCAGGCGCACAGGUGCACACACACACACCAUUCGUGUGACCAUCUCCCCACCUGACAGAAACCGCCAGGACAAAGCUCCUCCCCCAUCCUUGGGAGCAGCACCCCGUCCCACCCCUCCUGUCCCGGCACCAGGCCCUGUCUGGGGGGCUUCAGGUAAGGGAGGAAACACAGCCCCGUGCUGGCCUGGGGACCGUCACAGGGUGGUGACGGUGGUCCCCACUCUCAGCCUGACUCCAGGCUCUGUGCUGAGGGGAAUUUAAACCCAGUUCCUUGCUGCUGCGGCUAGGGGAGCCCAUCAACUCCAGUAA